rnacentral:rRNA from 1 species
UACGUAGGGGGGCUAGCGUUGUCCCGGAAUCAUUGGGCGUAAAGAGCGUGUAGGCGGUCCGGUAAGUCCGCUGUGAAAGUCGGGGGCUCAACCCCGAACUUGCAGUGGGUACGGGCAGACUAGAGUGUGGUAGGGGAGACUGAAUUCCUGGUGUAGCGGUGAAAUGCGCAGAUAUCAGGAGGAACACCGAUGGCGAAGGCAGGUCUCUGGGCCACUACUGACGCUG